UAGAAACACCUUUAAAAGGAUAAAUUUCUUACAAAAAUUUAUUUCUGAACUUAUAUCAGAGUUUCUAA
rnacentral:tRNA from 1 species